UUAACCCUGUAAACCGUGAAGCCCUAAGUUCCACUUGGGUGGUUAGUAGCGGUUAUGGGGUUUU
rnacentral:sRNA from 1 species